rnacentral:rRNA from 1 species
AUGCUUUCCCUUGAGCUCGCUCCAUGGAUUUUCAAGACCAUCACCGAGCUCUGCCAUAAUUUUUUCUGGAGGGGCACCAAGGAGGCAAAGGGAGGUCAUUGCCUGGUUGCUUGGGAGCAGAUUUGCAAACCAUUGGCAUUCAUCGACUUAAUUAUCUCAAUAAGGCUUUGCAGAUUCGCUGGCUCUGGCUUCAGAAAACUAGGCCAAUCAGGGCUUGGUCCAGGCUAUCACCCUCUAUCUCCGAGGAGACCAUACGACUCUUUCUUGCAGCGACCAAGUGCACGAUUAGCAGAGAUGAUACGGUGA